ensembl:miRNA
UUAGGUUGGUGCAAAAGUAAUUGGGGUUUUUGCCAUUACCUUUAACGUCAAUUACGUUUGCACUGAUCUAAUA